rnacentral:rRNA from 1 species
AUUGAACGCUGGCGGCAGGCCUAACACAUGCAAGUCGAACGAGUGGCGGAGGGGUGAGUAAUGUCUGGGACACUGCCUGAUGGAGGGGGAUAACUACUGGAAACGGUAGCUAAUACCGCAUACCAUCAGAUGUGCCCAGAUGGGAUUAGCUUGUUGGUGGGGUAACGGCUCACCAAGGCGACGAUCCCUAGCUGGUCUGAGAGGAUGACCAGCCUAACUGGCACUGAGACACGGUCCAGACGCCUACGGGAGGCAGCAGUGGUGACUAUUGCACAAUGGGCGCAAGCCGGAUGCAGCCCGGCCGCGUGUAGGAAGAAGGCCUGCGGGUUGUAAAGUACUUUCAGCGGGUAGGCGUUACCCGCAGAAGAAGCCCCGGCUAACUCCGUGCCAGCCGCCGCGGUAAUUC